rnacentral:misc_RNA from 1 species
GAAAUGCGAUACGUAUUGUGAAUUGCAGAUCAGUGAACCAUCGAAUCUUUGAACGCACCUUGCGGCUGCUGGCACUCCAGCAGCCACGCCCGUUCGAGCGUCAUCUCAACCCUCAGGACCCCGCUCCUGGCCUUGGGCACCCAGGCUCGCCCUGGCGCCCCAAUCGUAGCGGCGGUAGCGUCUCGUCAGGCUCUGCGUAGUUAACAUCUCGCAGCGGUCCCGGGCGCUCCCUGCCUCAAGAACCCCCUUCAGUUUGACCUCGAGUCGGGUGGGAUUACCCGCUGAACUUAA